AAAUGCAAAUGGUGAUUUGGUUUGAAAAUACAAAUGGUGUUUGCUUUGAAAAUGCAAAGGGUGGUUUGCUUUGAAAAUGCAAAAGGUGGUUUGCUUUGAAAAUGCAAAAGAUCUGCUUUGAAAAUGC